rnacentral:lncRNA from 1 species
AUAACAUGUCUGGAAUGGACGAAACAAGGGCAUCAACUUGGAAUCAAUAGAUCGCCACAAUAUACUGCAUAAUUGAGCCUCAAUCUUCUUCCAAUGUGCUUUGGCUUUUUCAUCUCAGUCACUAGACUCCUUGGUUAGAUGAUCCUGAACACCUUGGCCUUUACACCACAACUCGACAGACGAAGCCCAAACUAGGUAGUUUGAACCUCCCAUUAAAGGUUCUGAGGUAAUCAUAACACCGGAACUGCCAGAACGCGAGUUUCUAGACCCGAAAGCAUCGAGUCCCAAAGACAUCGUUGGAUUAUCAUGAAAACUCG